GGGGGUAUAGCGCAGUUGGGAGCGCGCCUGACUGGCAGUCAGGAGGUCAGGGGUUCAAGUCCCCUUAUCUCCACCA
rnacentral:tRNA from 1 species